UCCUCAUGUAGAAUAAUCCUUACCUCUUCCUCUAUUUAGAGGGCAGAUAGAACAUGAUGAUAGGAGUUCACAUGAUUUGUGAUUAACAUCUCUGCGUGAGUAGAAUUUGAAACACCCUAACGGCUCCUAUCUGAU
ensembl:snoRNA U8 U8 small nucleolar RNA